GUUGUAUGGUUAAGUGACUAAGCGUACACGGUGGAUGCCUUGGCAGUCAGAGGCGAUGAAAGACGUAGUAACUUGCGAUAAGCCCAGAUUAGGUAGUAACAACCAUUUGAGUCUGGGAUUUCUGAAUGGGGAAACCCACUUACAUAAGUAAGUAUCAUUAACUGAAUACAUAGGUUAAUGAGGCGAACCGGGGGAACUGAAACAUCUAAGUACCCCGAGGAAAAGAAAUCAACCGAGAUUCCGAAAGUAGCGGCGAGCGAAAUUGGACUAGCCCUUAAGCUUUACACGCGUUAGACGAACGGUCUGGAAAGUCCGACGAUACAGGGUGAUAGUCCCGUAGUUGACGACGUGUGUUCAGUGAAAUCGAGUAGGGCGGGACACGUGAUAUCCUGUCUGAAUAUGGGGGGACCAUCCUCCAAGGCUAAAUACUACUGACUGACCGAUAGUGAACCAGUACCGUGAGGGAAAGGCGAAAAGAACCCCUGUGAGGGGAGUGAAAUAGAACCUGAAACCGUGUACGUACAAGCAGUAGGAGCAGGCUUUGUCCUGUGACUGCGUACCUUUUGUAUAAUGGGUCAGCGACUUAUAUUCAGUGGCAAGGUUAACCAUCUAGGGGAGCCGUAGGGAAACCGAGUCUUAACUGGGCGUUCAGUCUCUGGAUAUAGACCCGAAACCAGGUGAUCUAGCCAUGGGCAGGUUGAAGGUUGAGUAACAUCAACUGGAGGACCGAACCGACUAAUGUUGAAAAAUUAGCGGAUGACUUGUGGCUAGGGGUGAAAGGCCAAUCAAACCUGGAGAUAGCUGGUUCUCCCCGAAAGCUAUUUAGGUAGCGCCUCGGACGAAUACUACUGGGGGUAGAGCACUGUUAAGGCUAGGGGGUCAUCCCGACUUACCAACCCUUUGCAAACUCCGAAUACCAGUAAGUACUAUCCGGGAGACACACGGCGGGUGCUAACGUCCGUCGUGGAGAGGGAAACAACCCAGACCGCCAGCUAAGGUCCCAAAUUACUACUAAGUGGGAAACGAUGUGGGAAGGCUCAGACAGCCAGGAUGUUGGCUUAGAAGCAGCCAUCAUUUAAAGAAAGCGUAAUAGCUCACUGGUCGAGUCGGCCUGCGCGGAAGAUGUAACGGGGCUAAGUAGUAAACCGAAGCUGCGGCAAUAUACUUUUGUAUAUUGGGUAGGGGAGCGUUCUGUAAGCGGUUGAAGGUGUGUGGUAACGCAUGCUGGACGUAUCAGAAGUGCGAAUGCUGACAUGAGUAACGAUAAAGGGGGUGAAAAACCUCCUCGCCGGAAGACCAAGGGUUCCUGUCCAACGUUAAUCGGGGCAGGGUAAGUCGACCCCUAAGGCGAGGCCGAAAGGCGUAGUCGAUGGGAAACGGGUUAAUAUUCCCGUACUUCUUACAAUUGCGAUGGGGGGACGGAGAAGGCUAGGUGGGCCUGGCGACGGUUGUCCAGGUUCAAGUGCGUAGGCUUAAGAGUUAGGUAAAUCCGGCUCUUUCUAAGGCUGAGACACGACGUCGAGCACCUACGGGUGUGAAGUCAUUGAUGCCAUGCUUCCAGGAAAAGCCUCUAAGCUUCAGAUUGUAAGGAAUCGUACCCCAAACCGACACAGGUGGUCGGGUAGAGAAUACCAAGGCGCUUGAGAGAACUCGGGUGAAGGAACUAGGCAAAAUGGUACCGUAACUUCGGGAGAAGGUACGCUCUUGAUGGUGAAGUCCCUUGCGGAUGGAGCUGACGAGAGUCGCAGAUACCAGGUGGCUGCAACUGUUUAUUAAAAACACAGCACUGUGCAAAAUCGUAAGAUGACGUAUACGGUGUGACGCCUGCCCGGUGCCGGAAGGUUAAUUGAUGGGGUUAGACUUCGGUCGAAGCUCUUGAUCGAAGCCCCGGUAAACGGCGGCCGUAACUAUAACGGUCCUAAGGUAGCGAAAUUCCUUGUCGGGUAAGUUCCGACCUGCACGAAUGGCGUAAUGAUGGCCACGCUGUCUCCACCCGAGACUCAGUGAAAUUGAAAUCGCUGUGAAGAUGCAGUGUACCCGCGGCUAGACGGAAAGACCCCGUGAACCUUUACUACAGCUUGGCACUGAACAUUGACCCUACAUGGUAGUUUGACUGGGGCGGUCUCCUCCCAAAGAGUAACGGAGGAGCACGAAGGUGGGCUAAUCACGGUUGGACAUCGUGAGGUUAGUGCAAUGGCAUAAGCCCGCUUGACUGCGAGAAUGACA
rnacentral:rRNA from 1 species